AUUGAACGCUGGCGGCAGGCCUAACACAUGCAAGUCGAGCGAGCGGCGGACGGGUGAGUAAUGUCUGGGAAACUGCCUGAUGGAGGGGGAUAACUACUGGAAACGGUAGCUAAUACCGCAUACCAUCAGAUGUGCCCAGCUGGGAUUAGCUAGUAGGUGGGGUAACGGCUCACCUAGGCGACGAUCCCUAGCUGGUCUGAGAGGAUGACCAGCCACAUGGGCACUGAGAGAGGGGCCGUACUCCUCCGGUAGGUAGCAGUGGGGAAGAUUGCACAAUGGGCGCAAGCCUGAUGCAGCCAGGCCGCGUGUGUGAAGAAGGCGUUCGGGUUGUAAAGCACUUUCAGCGGUGAGGGGUUACCCGCAGAAGAAGCACCGGCUAACUCCGUGCCAGCAGCCGCGGUAAUAC
rnacentral:rRNA from 1 species